rnacentral:rRNA from 1 species
UAUCACUAAGCGGAGGAAAAGAAACUAACCAGGAUUCCCCUAGUAACGGCGAGUGAAGAGGGAAUAGCCCAGCACCGAAGCCUGCGGUAGUUUUACUGUUAGGCAAUGUGGUGUUUGGGUCGGCUCGCGGGGUUGCCACUCCACUCGAAGUCCAGCAUUGAGUAUGGUCCACUGGAUUUGGCCCAGAGAGGGUGAAAGGCCCGUACGGGUGGAGGUUUCAGACAAGUAAGGCAACUCACUAGGCCGGCCUUAGAGUCGGGUUGUUUGGGAAUGCAGCCCAAAGAGGGUGGUAAACUCCAUCCAAGGCUAAAUACUAGCACGAGUCCGAUAGCAAACAAGUACCGUGAGGGAAAGUUGAAAAGUACUUUGAAGAGAGAGUAAACAGUACGUGAAGCCGCAUGCAGGUAAACGGGUGGCGUCAAGCUGCAAGCCCAGAGGAUUCAGCCGGUUAGAGUGUAGUACGCGCUUGCGUGUCAAACGGCCAGUGUAAGAUUGGGUAGUCCACUGGAAGACAGUGGGCCCUGCCGCAAGGUGUGGGUGUGUGUACCGAGUGGAAGUCGGAGCACGCUAUCCGUCUGUUGGGCCAUCUAGCCGGUGCACUUUCUCUGUGGUGAACACCACGACCGGUGGAACUGCCAGUCUGCUAUGGUCAAGUCGUGUUUGGUCGGUCCUUGUGGCCUUCUGAAUGCGAUCACGGGCAAAUUCGGUGAACGGCGUAGAUGUGCUCUCGGGUAUGUCUGCGUGUUAUCGGCUACCGGUUGUCUUAACGGGCCUGCCUUACGAUUGUCAAGCCGUCGUAGGGUGGUCUGGUGGACCUUAGUGGUAAGAAUAACUGUGCAGGGCACUGGAGUUUUCGGCCUCAAAUGCAGCCAGCAUGCACGCUUGUGGUGUCAAUUGUGGGUGCUCUCGUGGCCUGCCUGUUAUCGGGUCUGAUUGUCGUGUUGCCUGCGCAAAGUGGGUUCGGCAGUGGCUCGGUGCAGGUUGGGUCUCGUGGGGUGUCUACAGUGUUGGUUGUAGUGGGCCUGAUAGUCAGUGGUGUAGUGGUAGACGAGCUACCCGACCCGUCUUGAAACACGGACCAAGGAGUUUAACAUGUGUGCAAGUCAUGGGGUCUUACGAAACCCAAAGGCGUAGUGAAAGUGAAGCUUCGUGUCCCUCGGGGCAUGGAGUGAGGUGAGAUCCCGUCGUUUCUCCGCCAGUCUCUUCGGUCAGAAGCAGGCAUUAGAGCGGCGGGCGCAUCACCGGCCCGUCCCAUGAUGUGGUCAUUGGAAAAGGCUGCUGUGGGUUCGCUUGCAGUAGUACUCCCAGUGCGUCAUCGGGGCGGAGCAUGAGCAUACAUGUUGAGACCCGAAAGAUGGUGAACUAUGC